rnacentral:lncRNA from 1 species
GUGGGAAUAUUUAUUCUUACAAGACUUGACACACACAUAGUGGACACUCAUUAUUUCUAUGUCCCCUAAACAGAUUGACCAUAGGACAAUAAUAAACAAUAUUUUUCCGUGUGAAAUAAAUCCUGUAUUUUCUCUCCUCAAACUUUUUAUUACAAUAAAAAUUGACAGGAUAUUUAUUAAUAAAUGACUUAAAACUUAUGCCUUAUACUGGAGGGAUAAAGGAACAACUAUACUAACACAUUGACCUGAAAACAAAAUGUCCUCUUCUACUGUGGGUAGGUCAUCAAACAAAAUAAACAAGCUAUCAUAUCACAUCUCCUUUUUUAUAUGUAAAUUAUAUAUUCAUAUUUAGAUUAAGAAGUUUAAAAAUAAAUUAAAACAACUUCAAACAUAUCUUAAAAUGCAAGUCAUUAAAAUACACGGCGGGGUAACUUCGAUAUUUUUUUGGUAGGGGUGUGCCAUUUUUGCCUCAAAAAACGUACCCAUUUUUAUAUAACAUUCACUGAAAUUCAGUACCUAUAGUUAUAUAAAUAUUUAAGAAAGAAUGACCUAUACUUAUAUACAAUAUUUAAAAUAUGACCCAUGCUUAUAUAAGCACUAAC